GCUCCCAUCGUCUAGCGGUAAGGACCCAAGGUUUUCAACCUUGUAACCGGAGUUCGACUCUCCGUGGGAGCACCA
rnacentral:tRNA from 1 species